rnacentral:rRNA from 1 species
GGCGAACGGGUGAGUAACACGUGGGCAAUCUGCCCUUCACUCUGGGACAAGCCCUGGAAACGGGGUCUAAUACCGGAUACGAGUCCGGGAGGCAUCUCCCGGGCUGGAAAGCUCCGGCGGUGAAGGAUGAGCCCGCGGCCUAUCAGCUUGUUGGUGGGGUAAUGGCCUACCAAGGCGACGACGGGUAGCCGGCCUGAGAGGGCGACCGGCCACACUGGGACUGAGACACGGCCCAGACUCCUACGGGAGGCAGCAGUGGGGAAUAUUGCACAAUGGGCGAAAGCCUGAUGCAGCGACGCCGCGUGAGGGAUGACGGCCUUCGGGUUGUAAACCUCUUUCAGCAGGGAAGAAGCGCAAGUGACGGUACCUGCAGAAGAAGCGCCGGCUAACUACGUGCCGGCAGCCGCGGUAAUACGUAGGGCGCAAGCGUUGUCCGGAAUUAUUGGGCGUAAAGAGCUCGUAGGCGGCUUGUCAUGUCGGGUGUGAAAGCCCGGGGCUUAACCCCGGGUCUGCAUCCGAUACGGGCAGGCUAGAGUGUGGUAGGGGAGAUCGGAAUUCCUGGUGUAGCGGUGAAAUGCGCAGAUAUCAGGAGGAACACCGGUGGCGAAGGCGGAUCUCUGGGCCAUUACUGACGCUGAGGAGCGAAAGCGUGUGGAGCGAACAGGAUUAGAUACCCUGGUAGUCC